UAUCACAGCAUGAAUACAUAGUGCUGUGAGGCGAACCGGGGGAACUGAAACAUCUAAGUACCCCGAGGAAAAGAAAUCAACCGAGAUUCCCCCAGUAGCGGCGAGCGAACGGGGAACAGCCCAGAGCCUGAAUCAGCCUGAGUGUUAGUGGAAGCGUCUGGAAAGUCGCGCGAUACAGGGUGACAGCCCCGUACACAAAAGCACUCUUGCUGUGAGCUCGAUGAGUAGGGCGGGACACGUGGUAUCCUGUCUGAAUAUGGGGGGACCAUCCUCCAAGGCUAAAUACUCCUGACUGACCGAUAGUGAACCAGUACCGUGAGGGAAAGGCGAAAAGAACCCCGGCGAGGGGAGUGAAACAGAACCUGAAACCGUGUACGUACAAGCAGUGGGAGCCUCUUU
rnacentral:rRNA from 1 species